AGAGACUCUCUGCCUGCUCUCUUACACGGAAUGUGUGUGUAUUUUUUCUUCUUUUCCCUCCUCCUUUUCCUCCAUUGCCUGCUGGCGCAACAGCGUUUCAAUUGAACAGUCACUCGUGCGCAUAUUGAGAAAUCUCGGGUUUAUUUACCUUCCCUUUAGUUUGUCCGGACACAUACGGACGAAUAUAGCCUGUCAUUAUGCCAAUAUACCGAUAUAUCUCCACAUAAACCCACACUAUCAAUGGCUGUGUCCGAGCAGACUCUUCAGCUAAGGAAAAAUCACUUUGAAAAGCUCCUUACCUUCUUCUACAAGAGAUCUAAGAGCCAGGGCGCUUCAAGUGACGUAACGAACCGGGAUGCGCGCGCCCGACACUGGCCUCCAUGACCGCGAUUAUUUACUGCUUAGGAUAGAGACCUGUCUUCUGCACGCCGAAUGCAGUGAUGAAGAUGUUGAUG